rnacentral:rRNA from 1 species
CACGUAGGCGGAUCUUUAAGUCAGGGGUGAAAUCCCGGAGCUCAACUCCGGAACUGCCUUUGAUACUGAGGAUCUUGAGUCCGGGAGAGGUGAGUGGAACUGCGAGUGUAGAGGUGAAAUUCGUAGAUAUUCGCAAGAACACCAGUGGCGAAGGCGGCUCACUGGCCCGGUACUGACGCUGAGGUGCGAAAGCGUGGGGAGCAAACA